AGCGGCGGACGGGUGAGUUUUAAGGGAGUAACCUGCCCUGUACACACGGAUAACAUACCGAAAGGUAUGCUAAUACGAGAUAAUAUGCUUUUAUCGCAUGGUAGAAGUAUCAAAGCUCCGGCGGUACAGGAUGGACCCGCGUCUGAUUAGCUAGUUGGUAAGGUAACGGCUUACCAAGGCGACGAUCAGUAGCCGACCUGAGAGGGUGAUCGGCCACAUUGGAACUGAGACACGGUCCAAACUCCUACGGGAGGCAGCAGUGGGGAAUAUUGCACAAUGGGCGAAAGCCUGAUGCAGCAACGCCGCGUGAGCGAUGAAGGCCUUCGGGUCGUAAAGCUCUGUCCUCAAGGAAGAUAAUGACGGUACUUGAGGAGGAAGCCCCGGCUAACUACGUGCCAGCAGCCGCGGUAAUACGUAGGGGGCUAGCGUUAUCCGGAAUUACUGGGCGUAAAGGGUGCGUAGGUGGUUUCUUAAGUCAGAGGUGAAAGGCUACGGCUCAACCGUAGUAAGCCUUUGAAACUGGGAAACUUGAGUGCAGGAGAGGAGAGUGGAAUUCCUAGUGUAGCGGUGAAAUGCGUAGAUAUUAGGAGGAACACCAGUUGCGAAGGCGGCUCUCUGGACUGUAACUGACACUGAGGCACGAAAGCGUGGGGAGCAAACAGGAUUAGAUACCCUGGUAGUCCACGCUGUAAACGAUGAGUACUAGCUGU
rnacentral:rRNA from 1 species